AUAAAUAAAUAAAAGCCUCUCACAGACACAUAAUUUAAGCUAACCAUAUGUAAAGAUGGCUCAAUCUAUUACUUUACUAGCUAGAGCUAAUGUUGACUUAAUUAACAUGAUUCUCAUUUUUUGGGUCACUGGUGUUCUUUGUGGUGAUAUCUUGAUGAUUCCAUUCCAUUUGUUGUUGAUUUAUUAUUUUAUACAAUCAAAGUGAUUAUACUCAUCUGUUUCCUCCCUUAGUGUGAUCUUGAGCCACUGGCAAUCGUCAAGCAGUUUCCAAUACAGGGUUAGAUCUAAAUCAGUUGCACAUAAGUUGCGCACUUGUGCUGUCUACUUAAGCCAGCUAUUCAAAUCAAAAGGAGAAUAUCUUACUUUCGAAGAACAUAUAGUCAUCGUACGAGGGCUAUUCAAUUGUGUUUGGCUGUGCAUUUUUUUUUAUUUACACAAAGUUCUUAUUUGAACCUUCCCAAAUGUAUGUUACUCUCUAUCUCAGAAGUGCCUGUAUGGCUUUUUCAGGUACAUGUCAUACAUGAAUGGGCAUGGGCAGGCACUCCCACUGAGGGUGCUGCUUGGCUUCGUCUGCAGCGGCUUGCCUAUACUUGGCAUAGGAUAUUGUUAAUUCCAGUGAGUGGUGGAGUAGUUGUGGGUAUGAUGCAUGGAUUAUUGGAGAUUUUUGAGCAGAUAAAGCAAUCAUUAUUAUCAUCUCAAAGGGAGGGUAUUGAUUUCAUGGCUGCGAUUUUUCCUACAAUCAAAGCCAUCCAAGCUGCAAUUACUUUAGGGACAGGGUGUUCACUGGGGCCAGAAGGACCCAGUGUUGAUAUUGGUAAAUCAUGUGCAAAUGGGUGUGCUGAAAUGAUGGAGAACAAUAGAGAACGGAGAAUUGCUCUUGUUGCUGCUGGGUCAGCUGCUGGAAUCGCUUCAGGUUUCAAUGUUGCAGUUGCUGGAUGUUUUUUUGCUAUCGAAACAGUAUUAAGGCCACUUCGAGCAGAAAAUUCUCCACCAUUUACUACCGCUAUGAUUAUAUUGGCAUCAGUUAUAUCAUCAACUGUUUCAAAUGUUUUGCCAGGGGAAAAGGCAGCAUUUAUUGUCCCGACGUAUGAACUAAAAUCUACUGCUGAGCUGCCACUCUACCUUAUUCUGGGAAUGCUUUGUGGUGUUGUGAGUGUGGCAUUCAGGCAGUUGGUUGUUUGGUUCACCAAGACUUUUGACUUGAUAAGGAAGAAGUUUGGCCUUCCUGCUGUAGUAUGUCCUGCUUUAGGUGGUCUUGGUGCAGGUUUAAUAGCUCUAAGGUACCCUGGAAUAUUGUAUUGGGGUUUCACCAAUGUCGAUGAGAUUCUACAUACGGGUAAAAGUGCUUCAGCCCCUGGAAUCUGGCUCUUGGCUAAUUAGCUGCUGCAAAAGUUGUAGCAACGGCACUUUGCAAAGGUUCUGGUCUUGUUGGUGGCCUUUAUGCUCCAAGUUUGAUGAUUGGCGCUGCUGUUGGUGCUGUUUUUGGAGGCUCAGCAGCAGAACUAAUAAAUUCUGUGAUUCCGGGUAACACUGCUGUCGCAGAUCCUCAAGCUUAUGCACUGGUGGGAAUGGCUGCUACGCUGGCUUCAGUGUGUUCUGUUCCACUGACAUCCGCGCUUCUGCUCUUUGAAUUGACUAAGGAUUAUAGAAUUCUACUACCUCUAAUGGGAGCUGUUGGUUUAGCAAUAUGGGUCCCAUCUGUUGUAAAUCAAUCUGGUAGCAAAGAUACAUUCGAGGCAACAUCACCUCGUCAUGGCUAUUCGUCACUGUUACCUCCCACGGAUACGAAUGAGACAGAUUGGAGGCGACAAGAUGGAGACGAUGUUGAACUCACAAUUCUAGACAUUGAUUCCUACCACUAUGUUAGUAACAAUGAGGAGAUGCUUCUUGAUGACUUGAAGGUAUCACAAGCAAUGACAAAUCAUUAUGUGAAGGUCACGUCUACAUUCACCAUCGAGGAGGCAACAAGGCUUAUGCAAGAGAAGCAGCAAAGCUGUGUUCUUGUUGUAGAUAAUGAAGAUUUUCUUGAGGGAAUUGUAACAUGAGGUGACCAUCGUCGUAAAGGAUUUGUGCCAAGUGAAAACUCUGAUAGUACCCAGGCAAAUCCAUCGACCUUAGAUGCAAAUUCUUCUCUUGUGUCAUCAUGCCUCACUCGAGGUUUCCAGUUCCAUGGCAACGAAAGAGGACUGGUGACCUGCUUUCCAGAUACAGACCUGAGCACUGCCAAGGUUCUUAUGGAAGUUAAAGGGAUCAAACAACUUCCAGUGGUCAAACGUGGUGCUGGCCGUAGAAAUGAUGGGAGGCGUAAGGUCCUUGGCCUUCUUCAUUAUGAUUCGAUAGGAUGGUGCUUAAGGGGAACUUGAUCGGUGGAAGGCAAUAUACCAGAGGAGAAAAUUGGAAUUCUGCCAUUAUCAAACUACGGAUUCGCUCGAAUGCCAUUAUGAGAACACGCUUCGUUAUUACGCCAUUUUUAAACACUGGCUUACAGAUAAAAUGCCAUUUAGGGGGUUAUUUGAUAAAGUAUCAACUGUUUGGACUGUUUUACCCCUAAAGUAAACUGCAGUCGCUCGUUCUCUGUC